rnacentral:rRNA from 1 species
CACCGCGGUUAUACGAGUGACCCCCAUUAAUACUUCCCGGCGUAAAGAGUGGUUUAAGAAACCCUCUAACAACUAAAGUUAAGACCUCAUCAAGCUGUUACACGCACCCAUGAGUGGAACAAUCAGCGACGAAAGUGACUUUAUAGCACCAGAAUCCUUGACGCCACGACAGUCGGGCCC